UGGAUUCCCAGGAACCACUUUCUUAUACAAAUAACUGUCGAAUGUCAUCUUCUGCACAUACUCAUCGGCGCACAUCUCCACAAAAGCUUCCCUCGCCGGAUUCGACCUGUAAAACACCUUCUGCAACACAUCCAGCACCUUAUAAGUUGGCCAGUAAGUUUUAUCCCAUUUCUCUAAGUACUUCCUCAAGUCCGAUUCCUCCACCAUUCUCUUCCCAUUCUCCGAUCCUUCAACGAUUGCCUCUGCGCACAUUCUCCCGCUCUUCGCUGCAAAAUAUAUUCCCUCGCCAGAGCAUUUCGUCACGUACCCAGCUGCAUCCCCGACGAGUGCUACUCUCCCAGCUAGUCGUCGUGGACGAGGGUGCUCUGGGAUUGGAUGUGCUUCAACUCGGAUGAUCUUCCCUCCUAAGAUCUUGUCCUUUGCUCUGUUUCGUGUGGCUAUUUGAAAUUUCUUGAUAUCGGCUUUGUGAGUCACUGUGCCGGUGCCGACCGCGACAUGGUCGCAUUUUGGGAACACCCAACCGUAGAAAUCCGGCGAUACGUCGUCACCUACGUACAUCUCUGCAAGAUUCUCGUAGUAUACCAUUUUGUCAUCUGGGAUUUUGAUUCUCUCCUGAAAUUCAAACCCCCAAUUCUAUCAUUUAGCAAAACACAUUCUAUUAUUUUGCGGAAAUUUUGAACCAUAAACCCUAAGAUUGAUUGAUUUACCUGAAAUGCUAUGGCGUAAUCGUAAUCGCCGGCGUCAAUGGCCUUAGCAACACGAGAAUUAGCUCCGUCCGCACCGAUCACGGCGUCGACCUCCAAUGUCAUCUUCUCUCCGACACCUCCUUUCUUCCCGUCGUACGCAGUGUAAUGAAGAACAUACGGUGCAUUUUGAUUCUUCGGAAGUUCCAAUUUCAUGACCAAGC
rnacentral:lncRNA from 1 species